ACGGAAGGCAGCAGUGGGGAAUAUUGGGCAAUGGGGGAAACCCUGACCCAGCAACGCCGCGUGAAGGAAGAAGGCUUUCGGGUUGUAAACUUCUUUUACCAGGGACGAAGGACGUGACGGUACCUGGAGAAAAAGCCACGGCUAACUACGUGCCAGCAGCCGCGGUAAUACGUAGGUGGCAAGCGUUGUCCGGAUUUACUGGGUGUAAAGGGCGUGUAGGCGGAGCAGCAAGUCAGAUGUGAAAUCUAUGGGCUUAACCCAUAAACUGCAUUUGAAACUGUUGCCCUUGAGUAUCGGAGAGGCAGGCGGAAUUCCUAGUGUAGCGGUGAAAUGCGUAGAUAUUAGGAAGAACACCAGUGGCGAAGGCGGUUAGCUGGACAAUAACUGACGCUGAGGCGCGAAAGCGUGGGUAGCAAACAGGAUUAGAUACCCUGGUA
rnacentral:rRNA from 1 species